rnacentral:rRNA from 1 species
UACGUAGGGUGCAAGCGUUAAUCGGAAUUACUGGGCGUAAAGCGUGCGCAGGCGGUUAUGUAAGACAGAUGUGAAAUCCCCGGGCUCAACCUGGGAACUGCAUUUGUGACUGCAUAGCUAGAGUACGGUAGAGGGGGAUGGAAUUCCGCGUGUAGCAGUGAAAUGCGUAGAUAUGCGGAGGAACACCGGUGGCGAAGGCAAUCCCCUGGACCUGUACUGACGCUCAUGCACGAAAGCGUGGGGAGCAAACAGG